CAAAUUCAGAGAAACCCUGGAAUUAAUAAAAAUGGGCAAUCCUGAGCCAAAUCCUGUUUUCUCAAAACAAGGGUUCAGAGAGCGAAAAAGAGGAUAGGUGCAGAGACUCAAUGGAAGCUGUUCUAACAAAUGGAGUUGACCGCGUUGGUAGAAGAAUCGAAACUUCAGAAAGGAUGAAGGAUAAACGUAUCUAUUGAAUACUAUUGAUGAUUAAUGAUGGCCCGAAUCUCUAUCUGGGUUUUUCUAUAUGAAAAAUAGAAGAAUUGGUGUGAAUUGAUUUCACAUUGAUAAAAGAAUCGAAUAUUCAUUAAUCAAAUCAUUCACUCCACAGUCCGAUAGAUCUCUUAAAGAACUUAUUAUUUUAUUCGGACGAGAAUAAAGAUAGAGUCCCGUUCUACAUGUCAAUACCGGCAACAAUGAAACUUAUAGUAAGAGGAAAAUCCGUCGACUUUAAAAAUCGUGAGGGUUCAAGUCCCUCUAUCCCCAAAAAAAUACUAUAAUUGACUCACAAAAUAUUUAUCCUAUCCGCUUUGUUCGUUAACGGUUCAAAAUUCCUUUAUCUUUCUAAUUCUUUUACAAAUGUCUUUGGUCGUAAAUGACUUUCUCUUCUCACAUGUGAUAUAGAAUAUCACAUUCAAAGAUUCCUUAUUGGAAUAAUUCACAAUCAAUAUCAUUACGCAUACUGAUACUUACAAAGUCGUAUUUUUAAAGAUCCAAGAGAUUAGAGGACUUGGAGAAAACUUUGUAAUUUUCCCUUGUCCCUUUAAUUGACAUAGACCCCAGUCCU
rnacentral:misc_RNA from 1 species